AAUCCCCAACCCCAUGUAAUUGUUUUUGAAAAGGAAUCACAAGACCAAACAAAACCCAAGCAGGUGAGGGAAAUAAUAAAUUUCAGUUUUUUGAAAGCCUUAGAGAAUAGAGAACAUUCAGGUGCAUAGUGGCUGGGGAGCGGGGGUUCAGGCUGAGUCCCCCAGAAUGAGUGGUGUUUUACAUGAGUGGGAGCUGUUCCUUUGAGACAGGCCUGGCGUCCUACAUGGUCCCAGGGUCCUGCAUCCAAAUCCUGUUCUGCUGUAUUGCCUGUCACCCCCUGCUAUGGCCCCUCUAGUCCCGGAAAUUCUUCUGUGCCCUUCUGCUUACGGGAACAGGCACAGAGGGAGGGUGUGACAUGGCCAGGCAGCCCAACAGCCGCCAUUCCCGCGUGCCACCCUGAGUGUGUGUCAUAGGUUACUUCACGUCGCCCUCACUACUGUUAUUUCUGGAAACUUGAGCUCUGAGAGGUUAAGUUACUUGUCUAAGGUUGAGUAGGUGCCAGAGCUGGGAAGAGUCGACAUGUGCAAGUGGGACUGACUGGGACCUCAGCUUCCUGUCCUUGAACCCCAGUCUCACUAUUUAUCUGGGAGCCUGGGACCUCUCAGGGGAAUGUGUCUACUGGGGACCAGCUAUGCGCCCAGCCUGGCCUCACCUCAUGCUAUCAUUCACAUCUGGAGACCACAAUACCAGUGGUAGGCCGAAAGCUGGUAUUUCUCUUUUUCUAGGUUUGGGCUCUGACUCCUCCGAUUUCUAGUAUGGUCAGUGUUUUCCGAGUCAAGCAGGGUAUAAGGAAAAUCACACUCCCCCUGGACUAAUUUAUCAUCCUGUUAUUUCCAUUAGCUGAUACUGUUGGAACCCAUUCCAUCCCAAGCUGUUUGAAUUCUCAGCUUGGAAAUGCCCAGGCCUGGCAGUACCAUUUUCUGCUGUAAAAGGGACCUAGGAAAAUGAGAAAUGCUGCCUGCAGGUGUGUGGAGAGGGAGGGGACAUAGGAGACUUAGGAGGAGGGGCUGAGGACAGAGACCAGUGGGCAUUUUUUGUUUGUUUGUUUCUUUCUUUUUAAUCCAGAGUCAGGUGCACUGUGGAGGUCCACAGGGCUCUCUCUCCUGGAGGCAGGGGUGGCAGUGGGCUGCUGGGAUCUACAGCUGGGUGUGGGGGAGAUUGUGUCCAAGGAAGGCAAAGCCAUUGGCAAGAAUGGGAAGAAGGUUCCUGAAGGCUAGAUGGCUCCUGAGCGGACCCUGGACCAGUGGACCCUGGACCAGCGAACUGAGCAAGGCUGCAGAGGCUGACUUCAGUUUUUGACAAGUUCAGAAUCUUUAGGAGAUGGUGCUGCUUGUUGUGACCUUGAACCCUUGGCCUCCUGUUUGUGUAGUGAGAUGUCAUGAGGAAGCGGGAUCCGAACAGCUAGUUCCUGUUGAAAGCUAGACAGAGUAACACUGGCCUUGAGUGCAUGUCUGAAACCUUCCUGCUUGAGUCUAAAAGGACCCAUGGGCUGAAUGUAACCUGUGUCGGUUGGGUGACACUAAUCCCCAGGCCAACUCAUGGGUCCCCUAAAAGCCUCCAGCCUGCUCAGCUUUGGACCAGAUAAGGAUGUGAUGGGCACCAGAAACAAACUUGUGAGGAAGGGCCCACCUGCCUGUCAGCUGCAUUUGAUAAUAGGCUGGUAGGCCUGCCUUGUGAAGUUUCAGACAGAAGCAAAGACUCUCUUAAGGGCUGUUUAUGUGACCAGCUAUAUCUGAUCGUGAUUGUGCCCUGGUUCUUCCCACUUGGAAUUAGAAGCCAGCUGAAUGUGAUUCUGCCCUAAGUGCGUGCCUGCGUGCGGGGGCAGAUGCAAGAUCUCAGAAGGAAUCUAGUGGGUCCCGAGAGCAGGAGGGUGACUGAACUCCAUCUCUGCAGCUAUGGGCAAGUGCGUUGGGGUCACUUAUGCCUGGCCAGAAGAGGGCACCAGAUCUCAUUACGGAUGGUUGUGAGCCACCAUAUGGUUGCUGGGAAUUGAACUCAGGACCUCUGGAAGAACAGCCAGUGCUCUUUACUGCUGAGCCAUCUCUCCAGCCCCCACGUGUUUCUGGAUUUUGACAGAUAUUGUCAAUCCACUCUCCACUCAUCACUCAGUUCCAAGUGCCCACCCACCUGGCUGCCUCCACGUCCUGCUUUUCCUGCUCUGACCUGCCAGGAGCUACCCCAGGGCAAGGCCAGCCUGUGACCAGACUUCAUCUCCUUCCCUGAGCCGGCCCCAGCCCUAGAUAAAGCCAUCUGCUGACUAUUCUCUGAGAACCUUUCCCAGGGGGACAGCUGUGCGUGCCAGCGAGUAGUUCACCAGGCCAGCAGGACAGGGCUCUAGCCAGGAAGGGGGAUUGCCCAAGGCUUGUGGGGGAAAACCUGUCCUUCCAGGAAUGGCCAUUGGCAGCCAGAAGAGACUCAGUGCCUACCUGCCCUUCCCUCCUGGGACCAGGCGACAGGAGUCAUGGCUCACAGACAGAUAGGAGGCACCAGUUAAUGAAGACAAAUCCACAGAUCAAUAGAAAUGUGGUUGCCGGUGUGGAAACCCUGUGGUCCCUGACCUGGAAUGAGGCGCUCUGGAUAGGAGGAGGAUGGUAAGAGCUGCUGCCACCAGAGAGAAUGGGAUAUACAGAAUGGGGUAGAGCCUGACAGUGUGGGAAAGACAGUAUUCGGGGAGAGAAGUCAGAGAGAGCUUCCCGGAGGAGGAGGGAUUUACAAAGGGAUGCCAUUUAAGCAGAUGCAAAAGUAGGCCCAGGGUAUGCCAGGCCUUCCAGACAGAAGGCCUGUCUAGGGAAAGGCAAGGCCCAGCAGUGGGCUCUUUAGGGAUGAGGAAGCUCUUUGGCUGAGGCCCUCGGGGGAAGGAGAUGAGCUGGUUUGGGUCUGCUCUGUCCUGCUCUGGGACAGAUGACUGCUCUGGUUUCUAGCGGGCACCAAACAGGAGCCAUGUCUCUCCUGCCUGUCUGGGCUGGCAGGUGCCAUGAGUCUUUGUUUCCUCCUGACUUCAGCUUGUGCCUCUCUCUCAGAUGUAUUGUUUUGAAAACAGUCUCUUUGGGGCUGGUAAGACGGCUCAGCAGGUUAAAGAUCUGGGGUCACAGGUAGGUAUCACCAUGUGUGUUCUCACACAUUUUUAAGUCUCUCUCUCUCUCCCUCUCUCUCCCUUUCCUGGUCUCCAGGUGUCGGGAGUCCCCUUGGGUCUCUGUUCCUAUAAUCUGUCAGUUCUAAAUCUAGAAGAGCCUCGGCCCCAGGGUGUCUGUGUUCAGACUCCGGCAGGAGGAUGGGCUACCUGUCUUGCCUGGCUCUGAUGACUACUCUGGGGGCAAUCAAGGCAGGGCAAGCUGCCUCUUUCUUGUGGGUCCUCUUCUCUGCCAGGCCCCUGAGAGAAGUGAAGGAUCAGCUGGGGACCUCGGCAAUGCCAACCUUGCUCUGGCAUGGACAGGAAGUCUAGGAGAGGAACUGGUGUACAGCAGAGGCUGCUCUAUUACCCCCAGGGCUUUAUUGGAACCAGGCAGGGAGGGAGGCCUGGUUCACUCACUUUACCCACGUUCCCAAAGGCCAUUCAGUCUAGAAUGCGUAGAAUUAAGUUGUAGGUUUAGCCAGCAAGUCAGAUGGGCGGCUGCAGAAAGUCAUACUGUACUUGUACAGAGAGCUCAGCCCAGCUGGCCCCAGGGGCAUCUCUGUGCCCCUGGGCUGCACUUGAGUCAGACACAGCUUCCAUGAGGGCCUGGCACCUCAAGACCUCACCUUGCAUCUGGAAUUGACUAAUCCGCUGAGGCUAUCAUCGGGUUUGGGCAAAUUAGAGGCGACAGCCAUGCCCCUAACCUUUGUGGUGUGGCUAAUGAGGGCCUUCUGCUCUGGGAAAUCAAUUUCUAAGCCAGCAAAGACGUUGGGACAGGCAGGGGGCUGCUGGGAGAGACGCAGAGUGGAGACUCUUCCCUGUUUAGAGGCCCCGUUUUGAGGCUGCUAUUCAGCAUAACCAAGGGCUCAAAAGGCAGGAUGAGGCCACAUGCAUGGGCUUUCCUUUUAAAGCAGGGCCACGGCCAUGGCCACACAAGAGUGGUGGCCUCUAUCCCUGAGAGCUAGCAGAGGCGCAGUUCCAGAAUGCUGCAGGCAUUUCCUUCUCUCUAUGCGGAGACUACCACACACGCUGUUCGGACUCUGUAUCUUGCGUCCCCUUCUGUAAGUGAGCAAGGGCAGUGCCCAAUUCCAGGCUGUCCUCAUGAAGUUCCAGAUGCACAGAGCCCCACACAGACUACCAUGAGCAAACCCGGAAUCCGUGGCAGCUGUGACCGGAGCUGUUGGAUGCCUCCCCUGACUUCUGUCCUUUCUGCCUGCACAGGACAAAAGCUAAUGGUCCUAAGCCCUCUGCUGGGCCUGGCAGAAAGACAGCCACAGAGACGAUGGGCAGCUGGCUCAGAGCCAGGGGUGGCCUCGGGUGAGGCCACGGUGGGCUCGGGAACCCCAGCACCCCCAGCAGUUUCUCUUCCCUAGCCUCUGCCAUUCAAGUCCUCCACCCCGCCCCCAGCUGAGACAAACUAUGACUCUCUUUUACCUAUUGUCCUGACCCAAAUGGCAGCCCCGCGCUGUGAAGACCAGGUUCAAUGACUUGGAGGUGCCUUGUGGGACUAAUGGUGCCUUCUCAGAUGAUUCACACUGGCUCUUCCUCCUUCUCUCUCUAAUUGGUCCUUCUUGGUCUGUGUGUCCUUGUGUAUUGUUUGGGAGCUUCAGAUAUCUUUACAUUAAAAAAAAGUAAUAAUCCCAGUUACUUCCCACAGCAUCGCAGGGCCCUAAGGUCCCUGCAAGGAGCAAAGUUGGCAAUGAUGAACAUCAUAUGGUGAUGCUGGGAGGGAGGGGGAGAGAGAGAAAGUUAAGGGGGAUAGUGUUGGCUGACACACAGAAGGCUGGUCUUUGCUGUAUGGGAGGCCUCCCUGAUCGACUGCCUGUUUGAAAUGCCUCUGUUAAGGCCCUUACCCUUGGAGGGGUCCUUGAACUCCAAGAUAAGAAAACUAGAAGAGAACAGACCCUGUUCUAACGGGAAAACACCAUUUCAUAACCAAGGUUUUCGCUCCCAGGAGCCCCACAGGCCCCAAAAGCUACAGACCGUCCCAGGAAACCUUGUCUUGAAGGCUGGGAGAUGGCUAUGCGGUUUCCGCUGUGCUCACAGCAGGCAGAGCUGCAAUGGGCAAGGGCUAUGUAUCAGGAUUAGGUGUAGGGACUCACACAUGUGACAUGGCCAGGCCCCUGCCUUCCACUACAGCGAGCUAGGGGGCUGACAUGAGAAGCGCUGGGAAGCCCGCUCAUUUUUCUUCUGACAAGUGCCUCUUAGAGCCCUGCUUUGAUUGUCUUUCUUUUCACAGAGACAUGGACCCCAGAAGAAUUUCUACUUUUCGUUUUCCUUUGUGGUUUGGCGAUGGAAGCCGAGGCUGGGUGCGUGCGAGGCAAGCACCCCACCACGGAGCUGCACCCCAGGUCUCCCUCCUUAGUGAUCGUGUACAGCAAUACGGAAAGACUGCCGGAGACAAGAGGGAGGGCCGGGGACUGUGGCAAACCGAGAACACGCCAUCAUUAAAAGGGGAUACUGCUGUUGCCUCCGAGAGGGCGCCAUUGGCAGAUCUUCUGAUUUUUAAAAGAAUUUUUAAAUUUUUAAAAGCCAGAACUCCAUUCUUUUUUUUUAAAGUGAGAAUUCUCUGCAGUUAAAAAAUUUGACAGUGCAUUUUAAGUAGCUAGCCAGAUCAGGUCACUGCUAGAUUGUGACCUGUCACAUAGGCAGAGUCUCAGCCCCCACGGACAGGUGACAUUCUACCUGCUAACAUGGAUGCCCUCCUGCUCUGCCUUGUCUUUCAUCUGCUACAGCCAGCAGGGGCCCCAGCCCCUACAUAUCCUCCCAGGUACUCUGAAGGCUGUGGGAACUCAGGUACCAGGGCCAGCCAAUGUGACAAAAAACGGACAGGUCAGAGUCCACAGAGGAAGUGUGCUACUGUGUGUGUGUGUGUGCGUGCGCGCGCUUGCUCCAAGGAGCUUCCAAACUGCUAAUUUCUCAGGAACAGAGAAGGGAAGGAAGGAGGCAGAGCAACAGCUGGCUCUGGGCAGUGAGCAAUCCUGUCUGAAAAUAAAACAUUUUACAAUCCACAA